UGACGUUAAUCAUAAUUCUGCUCACACUAAUUUAAAUAAUUCUACAUGUCUAGACCAUUUUAUAAAUCAAACUAAUUAUUAGCUAAUAAUCCUCCAUUUAAGUUUAUCAAGCUUAAAUUAAAAUACUAUUGAGUCCAAUCAAAUAAAUUAAUGGCCCAACUUAACAAAUUAAUUCCAUCAUCUUAUAUAUUCCCAGGCCCAACACAAUUUAUUAUUAUUAAGUCCAUUGAGAUUAAUAGGCCCAAGUACCAGCUUAAACCCAAUCACUAUAUUCAAACUAAAAUAAAUCUAGAAUUUUCUUUAAUUAAAAGGGAAAACACUUUCUCUCUCUCAUUUUUCUUUUCUUCUUCACACGCUUUCUCUCUCCUUUCAUUCCCUCUCUCUGCGUCUCUCACACUCUCACAGCCGGCGGACGUCGCCGGUUCUCGUCGCCUGCGGCGCGGCGAAGCCGACACCCCUUCUUCCCCCUCCUUCCUUUCGUUCCCUACCUCUUCUCCUGAAUCUAAAAUCCCCAAGUUGAAAUAGAUCUAGGGAUUUCUAUUUUCAAUUCACGUUCUCCGGUGAGUUCCGCCACUGCCGCCGCCGUCUCCGUCGCACCACCGCCACUUCCGACUCAGAGAUAGGUGCUCUCCAAUAAACAUUGCCGGCUGGAGGCGUUAUCAAUCCGACGAGGCUGCCUUAGUUCUCACUGUUGCUGUUCGAAUUUCAUCUAUUCUUCUUUUUGUAUUUAUUCAGUUAUUAACUCCUUGUAACGCUGGAAUUUCUUGUAAAAAAAAUACUCUAGAUGCUAACGAGAUUGUAUUAUUGCUUCGUAUAUGAUUUAAGGGUAGGUGUAACUAUUAUUUA